CCGCACAAGCGGUGGAGUAUGUGGUUUAAUCGAUGCAACGCGAAGAACCUUACCUGGUCUUGACAUCCCGGAGACCCUUAGGAAACUAGGGGGUGCUUCCAUCUGGAAGAAUCUGGAGACAGGUGCUGCAUGGCUGUCGUCAGCUCGUGUCGUGAGAUGUUGGGUUAAGUCCCGCAACGAGCGCAACCCUUGCCUUUAGUUGCCAGCAGUUCGGCUGGGCACACUAAAGGGACUGCCGGUGUUAAACCGGAGGAAGGUGGGGGAUGACGUCAAGUCCUCAUGGCCUUUAUGACCAGGGCUACACACGUACUACAAUGGCCGAUACAAAGGGCAGCGACACUGCGAGGUGAAGCCAAUCCCGUAAAAUCGGUCUCAGUCCGGAUUGGAGUCUGCAACUCGACUCCAUGAAGUUGGAAUCGCUAGUAAUCGUGGAUCAGCAUGCCACGGUGAAUACGUUCCCGGGCCUU
rnacentral:rRNA from 1 species